GCCUGCUGCUAUUCUAUUUCUAUCCAGAGCUCACAAACAAAGCAGGGUCAGGCUUAUUCUGUACAUAUACUGAAGACUUCCAGGGAAAGUUAGGUGCUGCAGUAA
rnacentral:rRNA from 1 species